UAUGUGUGUGUGUGUGUGUGUGUGUGUGUGUGUGUGUGUGUAUAUUAUAUACACACAUACAUACACCCUAGAGUAGAAGAAUAAUAUAUA
rnacentral:miRNA from 1 species